rnacentral:rRNA from 1 species
UAGCUAGUUGGUGAGGUAAAGGCUUACCAAGGCGACGAUCUGUAGCGGGUCUGAGAGGAUGAUCCGCCACACUGGAACUGAGACACGGUCCAGACUCCUACGGGAGGCAGCAGUGGGGAAUUUUGGACAAUGGGGGCAACCCUGAUCCAGCCAUGCCGCGUGAGUGAAGAAGGCCUUCGGGUUGUAAAGCUCUUUCGGCCGGGAAGAAAUCGCAUGGGCCAAUACCCUGUGUGGAUGACGGUACCGGAAUAAGAAGCACCGGCUAACUACGUGCCAGCAGCCGCGGUAAUACGUAGGGUGCGAGCGUUAAUCGGAAUUACUGGGCGUAAAGCGUGCGCAGGCGGUUUUGUAAGACAGGCGUGAAAUCCCCGGGCUUAACCUGGGAACUGCGUUUGUGACUGCAAGGCUAGAGUACGGCAGAGGGGGGUGGAAUUCCACGUGUGGCAGUGAAAUGCGUAGAGAUGUGGAGGAACACCAAUGGCGAAGGCAGCCCCCUGGGUCGAUACUGACGCUCAUGCACGAAAGCGUGGGUAGCAAACAGGAUUAGAUACCCUGGCAGUCCACGCCCUAAACUAUGUCAACUAGGUGUUGGGUGGGUAAAACCAUUUAGUACCGUAGCUAACGCGUGAAGUUGACCGCCUGGGGAGUACGGCCGCAAGGUUAAAACUCAAAGGAAUUGACGGGGACCCGCACAAGCGGUGGAUGAUGUGGAUUAAUUCGAUGCAACGCGAAAAACCUUACCUACCCUUGACAUGCCAGGAACUUGCCAGAGAUGGCUUGGUGCCCGAAAGGGAGCCUGGACACAGGUGCUGCAUGGCUGUCGUCAGCUCGUGUCGUGAGAUGUUGGGUUAAGUCCCGCAACGAGCGCAACCCUUGUCGUUAAUUGCCAUCAUUUAGUUGGGCACUUUAACGAGACUGCCGGUGACAAACCGGAGGAAGGUGGGGAUGACGUCAAGUCCUCAUGGCCCUUAUGGGUAGGGCUUCACACGUCAUACAAUGGUCGGUACAAAGGGUUGCCAAGCCGCGAGGCGGAGCCAAUCCCAGAAAGCCGAUCGUAGUCCGGAUUGCAGGCUGCAACUCGCCUGCAUGAAGUCGGAAUCGCUAGUAAUCGUGGAUCAGCAUGUCACGGUGAAUACGUUCCCGGGUCUUGUACACACCGCCCGUCACACCAUGGGAGCGGGUUCCGCCAGAAGUAGGUAGCCUAACCGCAAGGGGGGCGCUUACCACGGCGGGGUUCGUGACUGGGGUGAAGUCGCAACAAGGUAGCCGUAGGGGAACCUGCGGCUG